rnacentral:lncRNA from 1 species
CGCGCAUCAUCCGAAAAUACAUCACACAGUCCUAGACACUUGGGAAGUGUUUGACUUGUGAUUUUGUGAUAUGAAAUCCAGCAUAUCUAUCUUGUUUGCUGUGUCAUAAUAAUAAAAUAAUAAUAAUAAUAAUAAGUUUAUUUAUUUAUUUAUUCAAAGACUAUGGCAGAAACCAGUGCAGGUGGUCCCGGUGGUGAUCGGCACAUUGGGUGCCGUGCCAAAAGAUCUCAGCCGGCAUUUGGAAACAAUAGACAUUGACAAAAUCAUGAUCUGCCAACUGCAAAAGGCCACCCUACUGGGAUCUGCAUGCAUUAUCCGAAAAUACAUCACACAGUCCUAGACACCCUGUACUGGUUUCUGCCAGAGUCUUUGAAGUUCGAUCUUGAGGUCCUGAUAGCGGCUAAGUUUUUUCUGUUGUUUUUCAUCAAUCCGACUGUCACCUGGUAUGGCAACAUCAAUAAUCCAAACCUUUUUCUUUUCCACAACUGUGAUGUCUGGUGUGUUGUGUUCCAGAACUUUGUCAGUCUGGAUUCAAAAGUCCCACAGUAUCUUUGCAUGUUCAUUUUCCAUUACCUUUGCAGGUUUAUGAUCCCACCAGUUCUUUACUGCUGGGAGGUGGUACUUGAGGCAUAAGUUCCAAUGAAUCAUUUGGGCCACAUAGUUGUGCCUCUGUUCGUAGUCUGUCUGUGGGAUUUCUUACAGCAGCUGAGGAUAUGAUCAAUGGUUUUGUCGGCUUCCUUACACAGUCUGCAUUUUGGGUCAUCAGCUGAUUUUUCGAUCUUGGCCUUAAUUGCAUUUGUUCUGAUGUCUUGCUCCUGGGCUGCAAGGAUCAGGCCUUUUGUCUCCUUCUGCAAUGUCCCAUUCAUGAGCCAUAGCCAGGUCUUCUCUUUAUCAGCUUUUCCUUCAAUUUUGUCAAGGAAUUUUCCAUGCAACGUUUUGUUGUGCCAGCUGUCAGCUCUAGUUUGUAGUGCAGUUUUCUUGUACUGAUUUCUUUUGUCUGCUGUGCUUUGAGGAGUUUCUGACUUUUGACUUCAAUCAAAGCAGGUUCUUCACUUUGCUUUACAUAUUCUGCCAGGGCAUGUUCUUCUUCUUUGACUGCUUGUUUUACUUGUAAGAGUCCUCUGCCACCAGAUAAAGCUUCAACGGAGACACCUUUUCCCAUGAUAACUCUUCCAAGAGUGAAUUUCCCUUCCUAGCGAUAGAUUUCUCUCCCUUCUUAUUCCAUUCUUAACUAGGAGUCAUUUGUAAGUCUGAGUGGUUAGACUCAAUUUAACCCUCUCUGGGGGAGAUUCCACCAAAAAUCAGGAGAGUAGCAAAAGCAAAGCUUUCAAAUGCAACAGUUACUUACACGGGGCAAGCAAAGAGAAGCCUUUGACCAUUUAGGAUUGCAAUGGACUGCAGAGUCUCAAUAAAAGUUCAAAAAAGUAUUUAUUCAGAUAAAAAGAACUCCAUUGUAGAUAGAAAGGCUUGGGAGCUGUCUAGUCUACUCUAGACUGGUUUCUAAGGAAAAAUAAGAAAGGAAAAAUAACAAACAUCUAAAUAGUUACAUCUUGCCAGGAGAGAUGGGAGAUGCUUCUUGUUAGCUAGAAGAACAAAGGGAGAAGAGAAGAACCAAAAUGGUUCCAACUUCAUGGUCCAGUUUACUGGGACCAUAAAAGACAUUCUGACCAAUGGGAAUUAGUGUCCCUAAAGUUUCACAUUUCUACUAAGUUCAAAGUAAGGGAUGUGACCUGAACAGGAUAGAGUGAAACACAGUAAAGCCUGUCUGGGCAUGCUUUGGAAACAGGGAAAGGAUUCCCUCAAUCUAACUCUAUCAUCUAUCUAACUACAUCGAGACUUGAGUAGUCCAGGAUGAUUCCCAACAAGUCGGAUAUUUGUUACUCAGGGAUUGCUUUAUAUAUAAUCUCACGACUACCCUGUUUCCCCUAAAAUAAGACAUCCCCAGAAAAUAGGACCUAGUAAAGGUUUUGCUAAAUUGCUAAAUAUAAGGCCUCCUCUGAAAGUAAGACCUAGCAAAGUUUUUGUUUGGAAGCAUGGCCAACGAACAGAACACCAGAGCAUGCAGGAUUGGUAAAUGUACCUACCAUAGAGUGUUGUACAUGGAAAUAAUGGUAGUAACAAGACAUUCUUGAUAGGAUUCACAGUUUGUCUGGUUAUGCUGGUUUGUGAUGACAACUACUGUACAGUAUUCAAUAAAUGUUCAUUUUCUUGUUCAACAAUAAAUGUGAAUUCUUCUUCAUGGAAAAAUAAGACAUCCCCUGAAAAUAAGACCUAGCGCAUCUUUGGGAGCAAAAAUUAAUAUAAAACACUGUCUUAUUUUCGGGGAAACACGGUAUGUCCAUUUUUUGGGACAUCCUACUCUUUUUUUCCAAAACUUUUGUAAAGAUUUUACUUGCCUUCUCCGGAUGCACUCUAGAAUAAUGCAGUUUGGUACCACAUUAACUGCCUGGGCUCAGUGCUGUGGAAGUUGUAGUUUGGUGAAAGAGAAAUUACAACCCUCAACCCUGGCAUUCAAAGUGGUGUCGAUCUGCAUGCAUUCAUUUCACAGUGUAGCGGCGCCUUCUGACCACUAGGUGGCAGUG